rnacentral:lncRNA from 1 species
AUGGUUGAUCAAUGAUUAAGAAUCAUUCUAGGGUUAAACGAUCAAUACGAUUGACAUUUAACCUAGUGCAAGUAUUGCAGGAGGAUCGAUUAGCAAUUUGAUUACUAAUUGACUUAAUUUGAUUAAGCCAAUAGAUUGAGAUUAAGUCUAAUUAAAUAUUAUUUAAUUAAAUUUGGUUUGGGCUUGAUUGGAUUAAGUCCAAUUGGUUUAUUGGAUAAGCCAAGUGCAAGGAAAAACUAGUCCUAGUUC